rnacentral:rRNA from 1 species
AUAAGAGCGUAUGGUGGAUGCCUUGGCACUAAGAGCCGAUGAAAGACGUGAUAAGCUGCGAAAAGCUUCGGGGAGGAGCAAAUAUCCAUUGAUCCGGAGAUCUCUGAAUGGGGAAACCUACUUGAGAAAACCUCAAGUAUCCACAGCCCAAUCCAUAAGCUGUGGAAGGGAACCCGGUGAACUGAAACAUCUAAGUAGCCGGAGGAAGAGAAAACAACAUGUGAUUCCGUAAGUAGCGGCGAGCGAACGCGGAAGAGCCCAAACCGGAGUGCGUGCACUCCGGGGUUCGGACUGCAGGAUUGACGAGUGAGCCUAGUAGAAUGGUUUUGGGAAAGCCAGCCAGAGAGGGUGAAAGCCCCGUACACGAAAGGCAAGCGAGCAUGGCAGGAUCCAGAGUACCACGAGACACGUGAAACCUUGUGGGAAUGAGCGGGGACCACCCCGUAAGGCUAAAUACUCCUUAGUGACCGAUAGCGCAUAGUACUGUGAAGGAAAGGUGAAAAGGACCCCGGGAGGGGAGUGAAAGAGAACCUGAAACCAUAUGUUUACAAGCUGUGGAACAUCUUUAUAUGAUGAACCGCGUACUUUUUGUAGAACGGUCCGGCGAGUUACGCUGGCUGGCGAGGUUAAGGGCUGAAGGCCUGGAGCCGAAGGGAAACCGAGUCUGAACAGGGCGAAAUAGUCAGUCGGAGUAGACCCGAAACCGGGUGAUCUAUCCAUGUCCAGGUUGAAGUUGCCGUAAAAGGCAAUGGAGGACCGAACCCACAUCCGUUGAAAAGGGUGGGGAUGAGGUGUGGAUAGGGGAGAAAUUCCAAUCGAACCCGGAGAUAGCUGGUUCUCCUCGAAAUAGCUUUAGGGCUAGCCUCAUACGAGUCUUGCGGAGGUAGAGCACUGAAUUUCCUAGGGGGCGUCAAAGCUUACCGAAGAAUAUCAAACUCCGAAUGCCGCGUAGAUGAUGUAUGGGAGUCAGACUAUACGAGAUAAGUUGGAUAGUCGAAAGGGAAAGAGCCCAGACCACCGGCUAAGGUCCCAAAAUGUGUGUUAAGUGGAAAAGGAUGUGGGAUUUCGAAGACAACCAGGAUGUUGGCUUAGAAGCAGCCAUACAUUAAAAGAGUGCGUAAUAGCUCACUGGUCGAGAGGUCCUGCGCCGAAAAUGUCCGGGGCUGAAACACACUACCGAAGCCGUGGAAUCAUCGAAUGAUGAUUGGUAGAGGAGCAUUCUUAAAGAGAAGAAGCUGUACUGUAAAGAGCAGUGGAUUUUUAAGAAGAGAGAAUGCCGGAAUGAGUAGCGAGAGGAAGGUGAGAAUCCUUCCGGCCGAAUAUCUAAGGUUUCCAGAGUAAAGCUGAUCUGCUCUGGGUAAGUCGGGGCCUAAGGCGAGGUCGAAAGACGUAGUCGAUGGAUAACAGGUUGAAAUUCCUGUACUAUGAUAUGACAGAACUGUGGGGACACGUGUGGAAAGCGGAAGCCGGGAAUGGAAAGACCGGUGCAAGCAAGGUAGGAGACUGGUUGGCAAAUCCGCCAGUCAAUCUGAAGAUGUGAUGCGUACUGAAAUAUAAGUAAGGAAGUCCGUGAGCCAUGCGUCAAGAAAAGCCGCUAUUGUUCAUAUCGUACCCGUACCGUAAACCGACACAGGUGGAUGAGGAGAGAAUCCUAAGGCCGACGGGAGAAGCAUUGUUAAGGAACUCGGCAAAAUGACUCCGUAACUUCGGGAGAAGGAGUGCCAGUGAGAGCUGGCCGCAGAGAAUUGGCCCAAGCAACUGUUUAGCAAAAACACAGGUCUAUGCAAAACCGAAAGGUGAAGUAUAUGGGCUGACGCCUGCCCGGUGCUGGAAGGUUAAGGGGAGAGGUUAGCAGUAAUGCGAAGCUUUGAACUUAAGCCCCAGUAAACGGCGGCCGUAACUAUAACGGUCCUAAGGUAGCGAAAUUCCUUGUCAGGUAAGUUCUGACCCGCACGAAAGGCGUAAUGAUUUGGGCACUGUCUCAACAGCCCGCCCGGCGAAAUUGUAGUACCGGUGAAGAUGCCGGUUACCCGCGACAAGACGGAAAGACCCCAUGGAGCUUUACUGUAGCCUAAUAUUGGGUUUCGAUGUUGCAUGCACAGGAUAGAUGGGACUCUGGGAAGUGAUCGCUUUGGCGGUCAUGGAGAGGACGUUGGGAUACCAUCCUUGCGAUAUUGGAAUUCUAACCUGCGGCUCUGAAUCGAGUCGGGGGACAUUGUUAGGUGGGCAGUUUGACUGGGGCGGUCGCCUCCUAAAAAGUAACGGAGGCGUUCAAAGGUUCGCUCAGCUUGAACGGAAAUCAAGCAAAAGAGUGCAAACGCAGAAGCGAGCCUAACUGCGAGACUGACGGGUCGAGCAGUAACGAAAGUUGGAGUUAGUGAUCCGGUGGUAUGUGAGUGGAAAUGCCAUCGCUCAACGGAUAAAAGUUACCCUGGGGAUAACAGGCUGAUCUCCCCCAAGAGUCCACAUCGACGGGGAGGUUUGGCACCUCGAUGUCGGCUCAUCGCAUCCUGGGGCUGUAUUCGGUCCCAAGGGUUUGGCUGUUCGCCAAUUAAAGCGGUACGCGAGCUGGGUUCAGAACGUCGUGAGACAGUUCGGUCCCUAUCUGUCGUGGGCGCAGGAUAUUUGAUGGGAGCUGUCCCUAGUACGAGAGGACCGGGACGGACGUACCUCUGGCGCACCAGUUGUUCCGCCAGGAGCAUAGCUGGGCAACUACGUACGGAUCGGAUAAACGCUGAAAGCAUCUAAGCGUGAAGCCGACCCAAAGAUAAGAUAUCCCACUGAUUUGAUCAGGUAAGAUCCCUUGAAGACUACAAGGUUGAUAGGCACGAUGUGUAAGUGGAGUGAUCCAUUCAGCAAGUGUGUACUAAUAGAUCGAGGGCUUGACCA